rnacentral:misc_RNA from 1 species
UUUUCAUUUCGGUUCUACAAGUUCUGUGCGCGACGGCGUUCAUCACCACAUAUCACUGUCGAGCUUUAUUUUAUCAUCGACCGACUGACCUUCAUGGACAUAGUAGAAUAUCUAUUGUUAGAAAAUUUACUUUGUAAGUGAUUUGUUAAUAUAUAAAGUUUAAAACAACUCAAAGAGUUCGCCCUACUGUUGACUUAUUUAUUUUGGACGAGAUUAAAGGUUGUCUUGGAAGUACA